AGCUCCAAUAGCGUAUAUUAAAGUUGUUGCGGUUAAAAAGCUCGUAGUUGGAUUUCUGUCGGAGGCGAUCGGUCCGCUCUAUGAGUGUGCAUCUGAUUCGAAUCUGGCAUCAUCGCUAGCGUCGUUACUGUGCUUGAUUGCAUGGUGCGUCUCUUGCGACAUUUACUUUGAGGAAAUUAGAGUGCUCAACGCAAGCAAGCGCUUUGAAUAUAUUAGCAUGGCAUGAUAAUAUAGGGCUUUGGUUCUAUUUUGUUGGUUUCUAGGGCUAAAGCAAUGAUUAAUAGGGAUAAUUGGGGGCAUUUGUAUUAACGCGUCAGAGGUGGAAUUCUUGGAUUGCGUUACGACAGUCGACUGCGAAAGCAUUUGCCAAGGAUGUUUUCA
rnacentral:rRNA from 1 species